UUCAUUAUCGAUUUGUUGUGUCGCGUGAUUCGUGCGUCACUCGCCGUGUCGUGGAGCCGUCUACUCCACCUGCAGAGCUUUGUCAAUGCUGGCUGACAGAAAUAAAGUUUGUUUAAAAAAAUAAAUAAAUUAAAAAAAAAAAAAAAAAAAAAACUCCACCUGUACCACCUGUAGAGCGAGUUGAACAGAGCGAGGUGGCGGCAAAGCGAAAGUAAAUUCAGAGUAAAUUCAACGAAACAUGACCGACACGGAGAAAACAGUUCGACCGAAAUCCUCAAAAGUGUGGCAGCAUUUCACGCUUCAAAAAAAAAAAAAAAAAAAACAUGCGUAACAUGCAAGCUUUACAAAAGUAAUAUGAGAUGGAACAGGAGCACCACGAUGAUGAUAGAGCACCUGAAACGCAACAUGUCGCCGACGAGGAUGAAGGAGCUCAACAGCAGCAAAAAAUGACAGGCUUCAUGAUGAGAAAGACAUCAUGUCCACCACAGCAAGCAGCUGUCUUGACUGAUCAUCACUGACAUGAGGCCUCUGUUGAUGGUUGAAGACAAAGGCUUUGCUACAAUGAUCUUAUUUGUUCUGUCAGUCCAAAUCUUCUCUUUCUGAAUAAAGCAGCGGAAAUUAAAAAAGUGUUUUUUAAAAAAAUCCGAUUAAUCGAAAAAAAAUAAUCGGCCGAUUAAUCGAUUAUUAAAAUAAUCGUUAGUUGCAGCCCUAGUAAGAAUAGUUUUUGGCUCUUUUUUUAUUAUGAAAUCUUGUUGAGAACUUCCAGUCUAUGAGAGCUAACUAGUUAGCCACUAGCAAAAUGCUAAGGCGAGCUAGCAGCUUGACAACCAAAUACCAGACGAUUAAUAGUAGCUGUAGUAGUACAAGCAGUAGUAGUAAUACUAAAAGUACAAGCAGCAGUAGUAGUAUAAACAGCUGUUAUAGAGUCGUAGAAGUAGCAUCAGCAUUUGUAAUAGUAUUCCAAGUUGUAGUAGCAGUGCCAGUAUCAGCAGUUAAUGUACUACCACUACUACUAUUAGUAGUCACAUUGCUAUUACUACCACCAAUACUACCAAUAGUAGUUAUAAAGGCUAACUCAUGUAUAUCCAGAUUAACAUCUAUGUUCUUCCUCCAAACCCAUUUUAUGAUUGGGAUUACAGGCAAUUCUUUAGGACUGCUCUCAAAUAAUUGAAAUGUUACUAAACAAGGUUAUACUUAUCAAAUUAAAUAGUUCUGGUCUCCAGUAUAUUGGCGAAUUCAGUUUUUUGUACUUAAUUUAUUGGCAUGAUUUCUUUUUAAUAUGUUGUGUACAGACUUAAUUACUUCUCUGUCUACUUUUCUUACUCCAUGUAGGUUUCCCAGAGACUAUGAGCUGAGGAGGAAUUGGAAGUUUGUCGGCUUAGACCUGGUGUCAUUCCAUCAGUGUUAAACUUCCCAGCUCAUCUUGGAAGAGUACGUGCCAGAAAGACCACAACCAAGCAGCCUUGAGAUCUUAGGCAGCAUCUCCCUGAGGUCCCUCUCUAUCUCCCCACACAUCCACCAACCACUGGAACACAUCUCCAAAGUUCUGCUGGGCCAGCUCAGCUUCCCCUCAGAAGAAGUGCCGCCACCUGCCAGAUGAAGGAGCCUUUUGAGAGGCAGCUGGCAUCGUGAUUGGACUGUACUUUGGUCUGUUCCAAUCCAGCUUCAGCUCCAGAGACGGCAGGCGGGACGAGUCAACGGAGGCCUGGUGGACGAAGACAUGCAGCUGAGUACAAUCCAGAAAACAACAGAGGAGGAGUGCAGCGGCCCAGUAUAGCCUUUGACCAAAGAACUACAGACUCUUCACAACCUGCUCAAACUCUUGGUACAGGACCUCACCACACGGGUCAAGAAGGUUUCCGUCUCAUUUCUACUCUGAAGCUCACCUUCUCCUGCUCAAACUGCUGACAAAUGUUUCUGCUGCUCUAAAGUCUGGUCUCCAGAACUUCCUAAAAACUCUCAAAGUCUCUUCUGCUGCAGGUUGCUUUGUAGAACUGUUCCAGAAAACCUCACUAAACCACAUGGAGGAGCCUCAAGAUAGUCGUCCAAAUGAAACUACAAAAACCAAACUAGCACAACCCAAACGCUAAAGUCUCCUGCAGCCUACCAGAGAACCUCUGAGAACAGAGAAUCAGGACAGGAACUCUUACCUUCUGGACAACCAACCUUGGUCCACAAACAAGAAUACAGAAUGUGUCUGACCAAACCUCUAAAGACUCACUACAGCCAAGAUAAAGACACAACUCAGCUGCAUCAAACCCACUAAUCACUGCACACAUUAGCACCAUCUGCUAACUGUGGCUAAAGAACCACAUUUACCAAGACAACUAUCCAGUACAAAGCCCUAAAACACACCAAGAAACACAUUAAAGACGAUUUUACUGCUGGAAGCUGCAAGCCAACGCCUAACCAACAAACUAAAGCAACAGAGCCAAACCCGGUUAGUGGUGAAGAGAAGCAGAGGAAAUGUUUGUCUGCAGCCACAUAAAGCAGGAAGACACUGAGCUGCUCAGGUGUUCCUGAUAACACCAAGCAGCCACCUGGACAGCCAAUAGGAACGCAGCUUACUGGAAUUCCAGAGGGCUGGCUUAGUGAAGGAAAUUUAAUUUAAAGUUGAAGCAGAAAGUUAACAAAGAAAGUUGAAAACCACCUUCUGAUACCUGAAAUCUCUGAGUUUUCACACAAAGAACACCUGAACAUGUCAAACUGGUUCCAUAGUAGAACCAUCAUUGUAAAAACGUCAUAGUAUGGUGUGUUGCUCAAAAAACAUUAGGACCCGGCUGUCAGGGGACAAACAUGUAAGAAACAUGAGAACAGAGAGAACCCAACCAGUAGGUCACAGUUUAUCAUCCCCCAGUCAUCUCCUGAAGUCCAUAUGGUGAGAGACAUUAGUAUCUGGUUGUUAAUUUACCAGAGGAUGCUUAUAAUCAUGCUGAUGUGGUCUGUACUCUACAGUAUUUUAGUGACUCAAUAAAUGCCUAAAUGCUUUUUAGUUUUUAAUAAACAUUUAACAGCAUAUAUGUAAUCAAUAAAUGGCCUUUGCCUAUCUUAAGAAAAAUUCACUCAGAACUCUAUGUUAACUACUAAAUAAAUAAAUACAUGCAUACACACAAAAAUAAGGUAAUACAUUAACUGUGUUAAGAUAAGAUUUAGAUUUUAAAAAAGUUGUUUGUUUUUGCAGAAUCCAGUAUUGCUCACUGGUUGGUCAUUACAUUUUGUUAGUUUGAUUUCACUGUUUAAAAUGAUGCCACCUCUUUUCAGACAGAACCUGUGAUAAUAAAACAAUACAAAAUUUUUAGUUCUGUGUUAAUAAAGCACUUAAAGCUUUAAGUAUGGCCAAAUGCUUUUUUCAGAAUUAAAUAUAUCACUCCUUAGGUGGUAGUGGCCCCAAGUUCAGUAAAGUUGGAAAGAUAUUCACAGAUUCGGACUUCCAGCAUCAAUAACUCAUUAGAUAUCGGUUGUCAAAACAUAAACGGUGCCUCUUUCCCAUUGUUGCAAGGCAGACAAUGUGCUACAAGCCCAGUUUUAUCAAAAGUAUCUGUCUUUCAAGCUACAGGAAUAACACUGGUGUCUAUGGAGUGAACAGGGUCCGUCUGCAAUUUGCAAAACCGCUGCAACAGUAAAGAGAGACAAAUAUUCAAUAACUUCACUCUUAUACAUUGUAGUGUCACUAAAAUCACUGCAGCCUUCAACUGGCUCCUGUUGACAAAGUGUUUUAACAGAAAUGUAAAUGCUGUAAUUUGAUUCUUUUAAUGAACCAUGUAACUUGAAUGGAUGUGAUGCUGGUGUGACCACAGUGCACACGUCUGAUGUUGCUCACAGUGGUCCAAGGGACGCUCAGGGAGUUUGUGUGUUUGCUCACACUCAGGAAAAACUACAGGGAACAUUGGAUGCCAGUUUAAGAAGCAUAUAUGUUUGACCUCUGCCUGCAUAUCUUGGUUUGGCCUUCCAGCUAUGUCUUUGAUUAUCUUGGAUUGUGCAACCAUUUAUUAUCUGGAAAAGAGCAUCCCACACAAAUCUAUUUCUAACAUCCUAUUAACAUUUAGAACUGCACAUAUAACAAGUUAAACCAUAGCUCUUUACUAAUGACUUGAUAAUAUUGAUAGAGUGUUUGAUUUGGACGCCAAUACAUCAAUAUCCAUUGAUUUCUAAAGGUUUGUAAGAGCAAUUAUGUCAGGAAUUGUAUUUUUCUAUAAUCCUCUAUUUUAGUUAUGUAACUGUAAACCCUCAAUAAAAUUGAUUCUUCUUUGUUUCUUUGAGCGUGGAUUUUUACAUUUAGGAUGCCCGUGUUCAUAUAACUAGUUUUACAAUGUGCAAUUCACUGUUACAAUUUAGUCGGUAGAAUUCUGGCUUGUAUUAAAUGCUCAUUUUUUGGUGAAGAUUGCUGGUGAACAAAAUCAUAAAUGAUGAACGUAAACCCUAAACUCUACAUGGAUCCUAUGAGGUUAGAAACUUACAAAUGCAGAAACAAUGAUGUAGUUGCUGAAAGCUAAAUAUUUUUUUAAAUAGCCAUGUCUCAGAUGCAAUAUUUUUAGCUUUAUUUUUACAUUUUUGUCAUAAACAUUUGCUGAUCAUUGUCUAUAGUAAUGAGUCCACAUUUCUUUCUUUUCACUCUAUAGUCUCUUAUGGUUAACUUAUUGACUGAUUGUGUAUCUGGAUCAAAAUCUGCUGCACACAACUGCCCUUACAUGGAUAAAUCAAGUUGGACUGAAUUAAAUUGAACUGAAACAGGAUGUCAUAUUUAGAGCCUACAAAAUUCUGUUUCUUUUCAGCCUAUCAA